AACGCACCUUGCACUCUCUGGUAUUCCGGAGAGUAUGCCUGUUCGAGUGUCGUGAAGUACUCAACUUGCAGCUUAGUUGCUUGCAGGCUUGGAAUUGGGACCUGUCGGCGCAAGUCGACUGUCCUGAAAUGCAUUAGCCCUGAAUGCGAUCGUCGCAACUAAGCGUGAUAAACUUUGUCUUCGCUGAAAGCGUUCGUUCGGAGGGGCUCACAGAAACCCAUACUUUUUCACCUUUGACCUCGAAUCAGGUAGGAUUACCCGCUGAACUUAA
rnacentral:misc_RNA from 1 species